GGUUAAGCGACUAAGCGUACACGGUGGAUGCCCUGGCAGUCAGAGGCGAUGAAGGACGUGCUAAUCUGCGAUAAGCGUCGGUGAGGUGAUAUGAACCGUUAUAACCGGCGAUUUCCGAAUGGGGAAACCCAGUGUGUUUCGACACACUAUCAUUAACUGAAUCCAUAGGUUAAUGAGGCGAACCGGGGGAACUGAAACAUCUAAGUACCCCGAGGAAAAGAAAUCAACCGAGAUUCCCCCAGUAGCGGCGAGCGAACGGGGAGCAGCCCAGAGCCUGAAUCAGUGUGUGUGUUAGUGGAAGCGUCUGGAAAGGCGCGCGAUACAGGGUGACAGCCCCGUACACAAAAAUGCACAUGCUGUGAGCUCGAUGAGUAGGGCGGGACACGUGGUAUCCUGUCUGAAUAUGGGGGGACCAUCCUCCAAGGCUAAAUACUCCUGACUGACCGAUAGUGAACCAGUACCGUGAGGGAAAGGCGAAAAGAACCCCGGCGAGGGGAGUGAAAAAGAACCUGAAACCGUGUACGUACAAGCAGUGGGAGCACGCUUAGGCGUGUGACUGCGUACCUUUUGUAUAAUGGGUCAGCGACUUAUAUUCUGUAGCAAGGUUAACCGAAUAGGGGAGCCGAAGGGAAACCGAGUCUUAACUGGGCGUUAAGUUGCAGGGUAUAGACCCGAAACCCGGUGAUCUAGCCAUGGGCAGGUUGAAGGUUGGGUAACACUAACUGGAGGACCGAACCGACUAAUGUUGAAAAAUUAGCGGAUGACUUGUGGCUGGGGGUGAAAGGCCAAUCAAACCGGGAGAUAGCUGGUUCUCCCCGAAAGCUAUUUAGGUAGCGCCUCGUGAAUUCAUCUCCGGGGGUAGAGCACUGUUUCGGCAAGGGGGUCAUCCCGACUUACCAACCCGAUGCAAACUGCGAAUACCGGAGAAUGUUAUCACGGGAGACACACGGCGGGUGCUAACGUCCGUCGUGAAGAGGGAAACAACCCAGACCGCCAGCUAAGGUCCCAAAGUCAUGGUUAAGUGGGAAACGAUGUGGGAAGGCCCAGACAGCCGGGAUGUUGGCUUAGAAGCAGCCAUCAUUUAAAGAAAGCGUAAUAGCUCACUGGUCGAGUCGGCCUGCGCGGAAGAUGUAACGGGGCUAAACCAUGCACCGAAGCUGCGGCAGCGACACUAUGUGUUGUUGGGUAGGGGAGCGUUCUGUAAGCCUGUGAAGGUGUGCUGUGAGGCAUGCUGGAGGUAUCAGAAGUGCGAAUGCUGACAUAAGUAACGAUAAAGCGGGUGAAAAGCCCGCUCGCCGGAAGACCAAGGGUUCCUGUCCAACGUUAAUCGGGGCAGGGUGAGUCGACCCCUAAGGCGAGGCCGAAAGGCGUAGUCGAUGGGAAACAGGUUAAUAUUCCUGUACUUGGUGUUACUGCGAAGGGGGGACGGAGAAGGCUAUGUUGGCCGGGCGACGGUUGUCCCGGUUUAAGCGUGUAGGCUGGUUUUCCGGGCAAAUCCGGAAAAUCAAGGCUGAGGCGUGAUGACGAGGCACUACGGUGCUGAAGCAACAAAUGCCCUGCUUCCGGGAAAAGCCUCUAAGCAUCAGGUAACAUCAAAUCGUACCCCAAACCGACACAGGUGGUCAGGUAGAGAAUACCAAGGCGCUUGAGAGAACUCGGGUGAAGGAACUAGGCAAAAUGGUGCCGUAACUUCGGGAGAAGGCACGCUGAUAUGUAGGUGAGGUCCCUCGCGGAUGGAGCUGAAAUCAGUCGAAGAUACCAGCUGGCUGCAACUGUUUAUUAAAAACACAGCACUGUGCAAACACGAAAGUGGACGUAUACGGUGUGACGCCUGCCCGGUGCCGGAAGGUUAAUUGAUGGGGUCAGCGCAAGCGAAGCUCUUGAUCGAAGCCCCGGUAAACGGCGGCCGUAACUAUAACGGUCCUAAGGUAGCGAAAUUCCUUGUCGGGUAAGUUCCGACCUGCACGAAUGGCGUAAUGAUGGCCGGGCUGUCUCCACCCGAGACUCAGUGAAAUUGAACUCGCUGUGAAGAUGCAGUGUACCCGCGGCAAGACGGAAAGACCCCGUGAACCUUUACUAUAGCUUGACACUGAACAUUGAGCCUUGAUGUGUAGGAUAGGUGGGAGGCUUGGAAGUGUGGACGCCAGUCUGCAUGGAGCCGACCUUGAAAUACCACCCUUUAAUGUUUGAUGUUCUAACGUUGACCCGUAAUCCGGGUUGCGGACAGUGUCUGGUGGGUAGUUUGACUGGGGCGGUCUCCUCCUAAAGAGUAACGGAGGAGCACGAAGGUUGGCUAAUCCUGGUCGGACAUCAGGAGGUUAGUGCAAUGGCAUAAGCCAGCUUGACUGCGAGCGUGACGGCGCGAGCAGGUGCGAAAGCAGGUCAUAGUGAUCCGGUGGUUCUGAAUGGAAGGGCCAUCGCUCAACGGAUAAAAGGUACUCCGGGGAUAACAGGCUGAUACCGCCCAAGAGUUCAUAUCGACGGCGGUGUUUGGCACCUCGAUGUCGGCUCAUCACAUCCUGGGGCUGAAGUAGGUCCCAAGGGUAUGGCUGUUCGCCAUUUAAAGUGGUACGCGAGCUGGGUUUAGAACGUCGUGAGACAGUUCGGUCCCUAUCUGCCGUGGGCGCUGGAGAACUGAGGGGGGCUGCUCCUAGUACGAGAGGACCGGAGUGGACGCAUCACUGGUGUUCGGGUUGUCAUGCCAAUGGCACUGCCCGGUAGCUAAAUGCGGAAGAGAUAAGUGCUGAAAGCAUCUAAGCACGAAACUUGCCCCGAGAUGAGUUCUCCCUGACCCUUUAAGGGUCCUGAAGGAACGUUGAAGACGACGACGUUGAUAGGCCGGGUGUGUAAGCGCAGCGAUGCGUUGAGCUAACCGGUACUAAUGAACCGUGAGGCUUAACCUU
rnacentral:rRNA from 1 species